UAAUCAUUUGUCUACUAAUUAUAGACCUGUAUGAAAGGCAAAAUGAGGACUCAACUGUCUCCUGUAAUGAAUCAAUUAAACUGAUCCCCCAGUACAAAAGCUGGGAUAAACCCAUAAGACCAGAAGACCCUGUGAAGCUUAAACUAAACUAUUACCCUUCCCCUAAUAACUACUUUCGGUUGGGGCGACCUUGGAAAAAAAAGAAACUUCCAAAACAUGGCUUUCCACCACCAUAAGUGGCCCACCAGCCUCUAUUGACCCAGACACCUGAUUACCGAACCAAGUUACUCCAGGGAUAACAGCGCCAUCUUCUUCAAGAGCCCAUAUCAAAAAGAAGGUUUACGACCUCGAUGUUGGAUCAGGACACCCAAAUGGUGCAACCGCCAUUAACGGUU
rnacentral:rRNA from 1 species